rnacentral:rRNA from 1 species
GACGAACCGUGCGAACGUUGUUCGGAAUCACUGGGCUUAAAGGGCGCGUAGGUGGUUUGCCAAGUCGGGGUUGAAAUCUUUCGGCUUAACUGGGAGGGGUCAGGCGAUACGGCGGGGCUCGAGGCAGGUAGGGGGAAGCGGAAUUCCCGGUGUAGUGGUGGAAUGCGUAGAUAUCGGGAGGAACACCAGUGGCGAAAGCGACUUCAUGGACCAAUACUGACGCUCAUGUGCGAAAGCGUGGGGAGCAAACAGG